ensembl:snRNA U6 U6 spliceosomal RNA
GUGCUCAUUUUAGCAGCAAACAUACUAAAAAUGGAAUGAUACAGAGAAGAUUAGCAUGGCUCCUGUGAGAGGGUGACACAGAAAUUCAUGAAGUACAAAACAACACA